rnacentral:rRNA from 1 species
UACGAAGGGGGCGAGCGUUGUUCGGAAUUACUGGGCGUAAAGGGCGCGUAGGCGGCCGCUCAAGUCAGAUGUGAAAGUCCUGGGCUUAACCUGGGGACUGCAUUUGAUACUGAUUGGCUUGAAUGCAGGAGAGGAUAGCGGAAUUCCCAGUGUAGAGGUGAAAUUCGUAGAUAUUGGGAAGAACACCGGUGGCGAAGGCGGCUAUCUGGACUGUGAUUGACGCUGAGGCGCGAAAGCGUGGGGAGCAAACAGG